rnacentral:ncRNA from 1 species
UGAAGUGUUCGGAGCGACGUGGGCGGUUCGCUCCCGCGACGUCGCGAGAAGUCCACUGAACCUUAUCAUUUAGAGGAAGGAGAAGUCGUAACAAGGUUUCCGUAGGUGAACCUGCGGAAGGAUCAUUG